GACGAACGCUGGCGGCGUGCUUAACACAUGCAAGUCGAGCGAUGAAGUUCCUUCGGGAAUGGAUUAGCGGCGGACGGGUGAGUAACACGUGGGUAACCUGCCUCAUAGAGGGGAAUAGCCUUUCGAAAGGAAGAUUAAUACCGCAUAAGAUUGUAGUUUCGCAUGAAACAGCAAUUAAAGGAGUAAUCCGCUAUGAGAUGGACCCGCGUCGCAUUAGCUAAUUGGUGAGGUAACGGCUCACCAAGGCGACGAUGCGUAGCCGACCUGAGAGGGUGAUCGGCCACAUUGGGACUGAGACACGGCCCAGACUCCUACGGGAGGCAGCAGUGGGGAAUAUUGCACAAUGGGGGAAGCCCUGAUGCAGCAACGCCGCGUGAGUGAUGACGGUCUUCGGAUUGUAAAGCUCUGUCUUCAGGGACGAUAAUGACGGUACCUGAGGAGGAAGCCACGGCUAACUACGUGCCAGCAGCCGCCGUAAUAC
rnacentral:rRNA from 1 species